rnacentral:rRNA from 1 species
UACAGGGGGGGCAAGCGUUGUUCGGAAUUACUGGGCGUAAAGGGUGCGUAGGCGGCCUUAUAAGUAUGGUGUGAAAUCUCCCGGCUUAACUGGGAGGGUGCGCUAUAGACUGUGGGCUAGAGUGUGGGAGAGGAAAGUGGAAUUCCUGGUGUAGCGGUGAAAUGACGUAGAUAUCAGGAGGAACACCGGUGGUGUAAACGGCUUUCUGGACCAUAACUGACGCUGGAGGCACGAAAGCGUGGGUAGCAAACAGG